GGUUCUGUGGCUUAGUUGGUUAAAGCACCUGCCUAAUAAACAGAAACCAGGACCU
rnacentral:tRNA from 1 species